rnacentral:pre_miRNA from 1 species
AAACAGCCCCCCUAUGUAUUGGACCUUUGGCAGUUUUGGCCCCCAAGGCCGCUUUUGACUUAGUCUUCGCUGACGUGACACCCACAAUGGUCGACAUGUGCCGCCUCGCUUAAGGGAUGUGAGUGCCACGUCAGCGAAGAUUAAGUCAAAAGUGGCUUUGGGGGCCAAAAUUGCCAAAAAUCCGAUACAUAGGGGGCUGUUU